AGUGCCAACAACGGCACGAGAAAAAAAAACACGAGGAAAUAUGGAAAAACGUGCUGAGAGAUGAGCUUGAAAAUCUGGCUGCUGCAGCAGAUAUUUCAAACAGACGGAGGCGCAGACAGAUGACGGCUCAUUGACAGGUGACAGGAGCUGUCAUGACAGAUGACAGUGCAUUCAUUUCAUGAAUACUUCAGCUCGACAUGGGGACAAGCAAGGAAAGCCAGCACAGAGGGGGCUCACACAUGUAUAAUUUAUUCGAGGACUUCACACUACAUGAGAAACACAUCAGAUAGGCAGGCAUCCAUCUGCAGAUGAGUCAUUGAGGCGAUCCAAGACUCUGUUUGUGUCAAAGCACUGGCAAGAGCGUGACCUGUUUUGCUCCUCGCUUCGAUCAGAUAAUCUGGUCAACAACCGCGGACAUCAGCUCCAUGCAAAAAUGUUGCCUGAUGCAUUAAAGAGACCGACACAUGUAUAUUUA